rnacentral:rRNA from 1 species
GACGUAGGGUCCAAGCGUUAUCCGGAUUUACUGGGCGUAAAGCGCGCGUAGGCGGUCUGUUAAGUGCACAAGUGAAAGCUCCGGGCUCAACUCGGAAAUUGCUUUGCAUACUGGCAGGCUGGAGGGACGCAGAGGUCUGUGGAAUUCCUGGUGUAACGGUGAAAUGUGUUGAUAUCAGGAGGAACACCCAUGGCGAAGGCAGCAGACUGGGCGUUUCCUGACGCUGAGGCGCGAAAGCGUGGGUAGCAAACAGGA